GGAACACGUACGCAACCUUCCCAAAACUGAUGAAUAGCCUUCCGAAAGGAAGAUUAAUACAUCGUAACAUAACGAGAUGGCAUCAUCUUGUUAUUAUAGCUCCGGCGGUUUUGGAUGGGCGUGCGCCUGAUUAGGUAGUUGGCGGGGUAACGGCCCACCAAGCCUGCGAUCAGUAACUGGUGUGAGAGCACGACCAGUCACACGGGCACUGAGACACGGGCCCGACUCCUACGGGAGGCAGCAGUAAGGAAUAUUGGUCAAUGGACGCAAGUCUGAACCAGCCAUGCCGCGUGAAGGAUGAAGGCCCUCUGGGUUGUAAACUUCUUUUAUCUGGGACGAAAAAAGGGGAUUCUUCCCCACUUGACGGUACCAGAGGAAUAAGCACCGGCUAACUCCGUGCCAGCAGCCGCGGUAAUACGGAGGGUGCAAGCGUUAUCCGGAUUUACUGGGUUUAAAGGGUGCGUAAGUGGGUAUGUAAGUCAGUGGUGAAAUCUUCGAGCUUAACUCGGAAACUGGCAUUGAUACUAUAUAUCUUGAAUUAUCUGGAGG
rnacentral:rRNA from 1 species